GGGUGGUAAUGCCGGAUGCUCCAGUUGGAUGCAUGUCCUUCUGGGAAAGAUUCAUCGGUAUGGGAUGGGGUCGCGUCCUAUCAGCUUGAUGGCGGGGUAACGGCCCACCAUGGCUUCGACGGGUAGCCGGCCUGAGAGGGCGACCGGCCACAUUGGGACUGAGAUACGGCCCAGACUCCUACGGGAGGCAGCAGUGGGGAAUAUUGCACAAUGGGCGCAAGCCUGAUGCAGCGACGCCGCGUGCGGGAUGACGGCCUUCGGGUUGUAAACCGCUUUUGACUGGGAGCAAGCCCUUCGGGGUGAGUGUACCUUUCGAAUAAGCACCGGCUAACUACGUGCCAGCAGCCGCGGUAAU
rnacentral:rRNA from 1 species